GAUGAACGCUGGCGGCGUGCCUAAUACAUGCAAGUCGAGCGAACGGACGAGAAGCUUGCUUCUCUGAUGUUAGCGGCGGACGGGUGAGUAACACGUGGAUAACCUACCUCUAAGACUGGGAUAACUUCGGGAAACCGGAGCUAAGACCGGAUAAUAUUUUGAACCGCAUGGUUCAAAAGUGAAAGACGGUCUUGCUGUCACUUAUAGAUGGAUCCGCGCUGCAUUAGCUAGUUGGUAAGGUAACGGCUUACCAAGGCAACGAUGCAUAGCCGACCUGAGAGGGUGAUCGGCCACACUGGAACUGAGACACGGUCCAGACUCCUACGGGAGGCAGCAGUAGGGAAUCUUCCGCAAUGGGCGAAAGCCUGACGGAGCAACGCCGCGUGAGUGAUGAAGGUCUUCGGAUCGUAAAACUCUGUUAUUAGGGAAGAACAUAUGUGUAAGUAACUGUGCACAUCUUGACGGUACCUAAUCAGAAAGCCACGGCUAACUACGUG
rnacentral:rRNA from 1 species